GACGAACGCUGGCGGCGUGCUUAACACAUGCAAGUCGAACGGAAAGGCCCUUUCGGGGGUGCUCGAGUGGCGAACGGGUGAGUAACACGUGGGUGAUCUGCCCUGCACUUUGGGAUAAGCCUGGGAAACUGGGUCUAAUACCGGAUAGGACUACGGCCUGCAUGGGCUGUGGUGGAAAGCGUUAAGUGGUGUGGGAUGGGCCCGCGGCCUAUCAGCUUGUUGGUGGGGUGAUGGCCACCAAGGCGACGACGGGUAGCCGGCCUGAGAGGGUGUCCGGCCACACUGGGACUGAGAUACGGCCCAGACUCCUACGGGAGGCAGCAGGUGGGGAAUAUUGCACAAUGGGCGCAAGCCUGAUGCAGCGACGCCGC
rnacentral:rRNA from 1 species